UUCAAUUUCAUGCGAUUGUACUGAGUGAUUCUUGUUCCAUAAACACCUUGUACAAUCCAACUCAAAUAAAUGUGAGCUAAAUAAAAAUUCUGCUUUUCCUCACCAUCAGAUUGUCCACUACGGGAAUUCAGGAGGGGGAGAUUCCCCGACUGCAUGGAAUACAGGAUAACAUCACAUAUCCUACCUUUGGAUAACUGCAGAACACAGUGUAUAUGUAACCAGGGUGAAACAGCGUUUUUUAGUUGUGUUGAAAUGUCACCAAUGCUGAUUUAAAUGUACCAGUAUAUGUUUAGGUACAUUUGGUAACCUGUUCCUUUGUUGAUGUGUUUUUGUACCUGUACUGUAGCUUUAAGAGAAGUCCGUGUUUUGUGACGUGUGUGUGGCGCCAAAGCUCAGAAGGCUUUUUACUGUCUGAGCGGAGGUAUGUUGUUGUGUUUCUCGUCAUAUUUUAGCAUAUAGGUCGUUUUGUGUACAAUGAAAAUGUUUAAUGUGUAACUAAGUGUGUUGUGAAUUAAGUGUGUGAACAUGUUACAGCGCUGCUUUGUUAGCUAGCACUUAGUAAAUGCACUUUUUGAGAGUUUUUGUUGUGUACAUGUGCGUCCGGGUAUUACAGUGUUUCCUCUUUAUUUGUUUGCUAGGAGGGAAUGUUGGUCCCGACUACGACCGUUUAUACUAUUGACACGUUGGUUUCUUUGGCUCAUACAGGUAUGAAUGUUUUAUGUUCUUUAUAUUAUCGAUGCUGGUUAUGUUUGUGUAUAUGCAGUGAAGUGCAUCUAGUAUGUUAUUCUAUUUAUUUUCAUAUUAUUUUAUACGUCGUCAGAAGGCUUUUUACUGUCUGAGCGGAGGAGGGAAUGUUGGUCCCGACUACGACCGUUUAUACUAUUGACACGUUGGUUUCUUUGGCUCAUACAGAAGCGAAUAAAUGAGAGAAAGCCAGCCUCCUUUGUGGUCCAGUCUCCCAUCCUUCCAUUCAUCCAACAUUCACACCCCCCCCCAGAACACAACGCAGACGAUUACGCCGUUAACGGAUGUGCACUUCUAUAUAUUAACACAAGAACUGUUGCACACCCGUUACAUUGGUGCCGUGACCUUUCAAGGAUUGGUUUAAAGGACGACAUCACCUCGUUCGCCGAGGAAGCUGCUGCCACUGGCCCUUUGUGGUACUGAGCUUUAAGAGAAGUCCGUGUUUUGUGACGUGUGUGUGGCGCCAAAGCUCAGAAGGCUUUUUACUGUCUGAGCGGAGGUAUGUUGUUGUGUUUCUCGUCAUAUUUUAGCAUAUAGGUCGUUUUGUGUACAAUGAAAAUGUUUAAUGUGUAACUAAGUGUGUUGUGAAUUAAGUGUGUGAACAUGUUACAGCGCUGCUUUGUUAGCUAGCACUUAGUAAAUGCACUUUUUGAGAGUUUUUGUUGUGUACAUGUGCGUCCGGGUAUUACAGUGUUUCCUCUUUAUUUGUUUGCUAGGAGGGAAUGUUGGUCCCGACUACGACCGUUUAUACUAUUGACACGUUGGUUUCUUUGGCUCAUACAGGUAUGAAUGUUUUAUGUUCUUUAUAUUAUCGAUGCUGGUUAUGUUUGUGUAUAUGCAGUGAAGUGCAUCUAGUAUGUUAUUCUAUUUAUUUUCAUAUUAUUUUAUACGUCGUCAGAAGGCUUUUUACUGUCUGAGCGGAGGAGGGAAUGUUGGUCCCGACUACGACCGUUUAUACUAUUGACACGUUGGUUUCUUUGGCUCAUACAGAAGCGAAUAAAUGAGAGAAAGCCAGCCUC